rnacentral:ncRNA from 1 species
UAUUUUCAGGGCGAGGUGUAAUUCCUCACCGGUGGUAAAGUCCACGAGCUGUUUUUCGGCUGAUUUGGUGAAAUUCCAAAACCGACGGUUAUAGUCCGGAUGAGAGAAAAUG